rnacentral:rRNA from 1 species
AGCGGAUUAGCGGCGGACGGGUGAGUAACACGUGAGUAACCUGCCUUAGACAUUGGGAUAGCCUCGGGAAACCGGGAUUAAUACCAAAUAAAAUCAUAAUGACACAUGUCAUAACGAUCAAAACUCCGGUGGUCUAAGAUGGACUCGCGUCCCAUUAGCUAGUUGGUAGAGUAAAAGCCUACCAAGGCGACGAUGGGUAGCCGGCCUGAGAGGGUGACGGCCACAUUGGAACUGAGAAACGGUCCAA